GCAGGACAUAGCUCAGUCGGUAGAGCAUGAGACUCAAAUCUCAGGAUCGUGGGUUCCAGCCCCAUGUUGGGCA